CCAGCGGUCGAGGAGUUCCUUAA
rnacentral:miRNA from 15 species